GAUGAAUGCUGGCGGUGUGCCUAAUACAUGCAAGUCGAGCGGAAAGGCCUCUUCGGAGGUACUCGAGCGGCGGACGGCUGAGUAACGCGUAGGAACGUACCCCAAACUGAGGGAUAAUCCACCGAAAGGUGGACUAAUACCGCAUGUGCUCUUCGGAGUAAAGCUUCGGCGGUUUGGGAACGGCCUGCGUCCGAUUAGGUUGUUGGUGAGGUAAUGGCUCACCAAGCCGACGAUCGGUAGCUGGUCUGAGAGGAUGAUCAGCCAGACUGGGACUGAGACACGGCCCAGACUCCUACGGGAGGCUG
rnacentral:rRNA from 1 species